CGCGGCCUAUCAGCUUGUUGGUGAGGUAACGGCUCACCAAGGCAUCGACGGGUAGCUGGUCUGAGAGGACGAUCAGCCACACUGGGGCUGAGACACGGCCCAGACUCCUAUGGGAGGCAGCAGUAGGGAAUCUUGCGCAAUGGGGGCAACCCUGACGCAGCAACGCCGCGUGUGGGAUGACGGCUUUCGGGUUGUAAACCACUUUCAGUGAUGACGAAAAUGACGGUAAUCACAGAAGAAGGUCCGGCCAACUACGUGCCAGCAGCCGCGGUAACACGUAGGGACCGAGCGUUGUCCGGAUUUAUUGGGCGCAAAGAGCUCGUAGGCGGUUCUGUAAGUCGGAUGUGAAAACUCAGGGCUCAACCCUGAGACGCCAUCUGAUACUGCAGUGACUAGAGUCCGGUAGAGGAAGAUGGAAUUCCUGGUGUAGCGGUGGAAUGCGCAGAUAUCAGGAGGAACACCAAUGGCGAAGGCACAUCUCUGGGCCGUAACUGACGCUGAGGAGCGAAAGCGUGGGGAGCGAACAGGAUUAGAUACCCUGGUAGUCCACACCGUAAACGGUGGGUGCUAGCUGUGGGCCACAUUCCACGUGGUCCGUGACGAAGUUAACACAUUAAGCACCCCGCCUGGGGAGUACGG
rnacentral:rRNA from 1 species